rnacentral:rRNA from 1 species
CUACAUGAAGUUGGAAUUGCUAGUAAUCGCAGAUCAGAAUGCUGCGGUGAAUACGUUCCCGGGCCUUGUACACACCGCCCGUCACACCAUGGGAGCCGGUAAUACCCGAAGUCAGUAGUCUAACCGCAAGGGGACGCUGCCGAAGGUAGGAUUGGCGACUGGGGUGAAGUCGUAACAAGGUAGC